GCACCGGACUCUGAUCCCAGGCACUGAAUCUGAGAGCCGUGCUUAGGGCUUGUCUCAUUGACCCAGCCUACCGCCGCGUAAAAGGAAACCUUUUGUAUCUGCAUCCUUUGCUGUUCCAACCAUUAUCCAUAAGCUGAUAGAUAGAUCAUAAGCCCUACUCACAUCCUGUACAACAUGAGUAAGCUCCCUGCCCUUGUCAGCCCUGCACACAUGAACCAGGAGGAGAGAUGAUCACUCUGUGAAUACUGCCUCUACUGCCUGCAGAACAAAACCUCAAAAGCGCCAUUCGGUCCUCUAACUCGUAAGCUGAUACUUACAGAAAAUUUACCAGCAAAGUUUCCUGGGAAUAAAAACUAUAUUACAUGUUAAACAAGA